rnacentral:rRNA from 1 species
CAGCAGCCGCGGGAAUACGUAGGUGGCAAGCGUUGUCCGGAAUUAUUGGCGUAAAGGGCUCGCAGGCGGUUUCUUAAGUCUGAUGUGAAAGCCCCCGGCUCAACCGGGGAGGGUCAUUGGAAACUGGGAAACUUGAGUGCAGAAGAGGAGAGUGGAAUUCCACGUGUAGCGGUGAAAUGCGUAGAGAUGUGGAGGAACACCAGUGGCGAAAGCGACUCUCUGGUCUGUAACUGACGCUGAGGAGCGAAAGCGUGGGGAGCGAACAGGAUUAGAUACCCCAGUAGUCCCUGUCUCUUAUACA